UACGGAGGGUGCGAGCGUUGUCCGGAUUUAUUGGGUUUAAAGGGUACGUAGGCGGCGUGUUAAGUCAGUGGUGAAAUCCUACGGCUCAACCGUAGAACAGCCAUUGAUACUGGCAUGCUUGAGUAUUGUUGAGGUAGGCGGAAUUUGUGGUGUAGCGGUGAAAUGCAUAGAUACCACAAGGAACACCAAAUGCGAAGGCAGCUUACUGGGCAAUAACUGACGCUCAUGUACGAAAGCGCGGGGAGCGAACAGG
rnacentral:rRNA from 1 species